UACAGAGGUCUCAAGCGUUGUUCGGAUUCAUUGGGCGUAAAGAGCGUGUAGGCGGUCCGGUAAGUCCGCUGUGAAAGUCGGGGGCUCAACCCUCGAAUGCCGGUGGAUACUGUCGGGCUAGAGUGCGGAAGAGGCGAGUGGAAUUCCUGGUGUAGCGGUGAAAAUGCGCAGAUAUCAGGAGGAACACCUAUUGCGAAGGCAGCUCGCUGGGACGUAACUGACGCUGAGACGCGAAAGCGUGGGGAGCAAACAGG
rnacentral:rRNA from 1 species